AGUGAACGCUGGCGGUAGGCCUAACACAUGCAAGUCGAACGGCAGCACAGUAAGAGCUUGCUCUUACGGGUGGCGAGUGGCGGACGGGUGAGGAAUACAUCGGAAUCUACUUUUUCGUGGGGGAUAACGUAGGGAAACUUACGCUAAUACCGCAUACGACCUGCGGGUGAAAGCAGGGGAUCUUCGGACCUUGCGCGAUUGAAUGAGCCGAUGUCGGAUUAGCUAGUUGGCGGGGUAAAGGCCCACCAAGGCGACGAUCCGUAGCUGGUCUGAGAGGAUGACCCGCACCACGGGAACGGGGACGCGGCCAAACCCCUCAGGGGAGGCAGCGGGGGGAAAUAUUGGGAAGGGGGCGGAGGCCUAUUCCAGCCAACCCGCGGGGGUGAAAAAGCCCUUCGGGUUGUAAACCCCUUUUGUUGGAAAAGAAAAGCGGCAGGUUAAACCCCCGCUUUUUUGCCGUAACCAAAAAAAAAACCCCCGCCAACUUUGUG
rnacentral:rRNA from 1 species